GGAAGGCUAUAGCCCAGUGGUAGAGCAUCUGUUCUGGAUGCAGAAGGUCGCAGGUUCAGUCCCCAGCAUCUCCA